GACGAACGCUGGCGGCGUGCCUAAUACAUGCAAGUAGAACGCUGACUACUUUAGCUUGCUAGAGUAGAAGGAGUUGCGAACGGGUGAGUAACGCGUAGGUAACCUGCCUACUAGCGGGGGAUAACUAUUGGAAACGAUCGCUAAUACCGCAUAACAGUGUUUAACACAUGUUCGCUGCUUGAAAGAUGCAAUUGCAUCACUAGUAGAUGGACCUGCGUUGUAUUAACUAGUUGGUGGGGUAACGGCCCACCAAGGCGACGAUACAUAGCCGACCUGAGGGGGUGUGCGGCCACACUGGAACUGAGACACGGCCCAGACUCCUACGGGAGGCAGCAGUAGGGAAUCUUCGGCAAUGGGGGCAACCCUGACCAAGCAACGCCGCGUGAGUGAAGAAGGUUUUCGGAUCGUAAAGCUCUGUUGUAAGAGAAGAACGUGUGUGAGAGUGGAAAGUUCACACAGUGACGGUAACUUACCAGAAAGGGACGGCUAACUACGUGCCAGCCGCCGCCGUAA
rnacentral:rRNA from 1 species